AUGGAUGACUGCUUCCAAGCCUUCCAUAAAUCCUUUUCACCCUCCCCCACCCCCUCUCUGAUUUUUCACCCGUGUGGGGCCCUGCCCAAACUCUUCAUCCAAUUAAAGCCUGCCAUUUCACAAAUCACCCCUUUUACCUUUUUCCUGACGAAGCAGACAACUCUUCUACAGGAUGCACCUGCCACCUGCGGGGCUGCAUCUUUGAAUCCAUCUCGCAUCCAAGCCUACGUGGACACGAGUGGCCUGCCGCUAGACCGCGGUCCACUCUCCGUCUCCUUCUGUCCUGUGCCACCCCCCGUGUGCUGCUCCCAAUGUUUUCGCCGCUCCAUUCCACGCACCUCCACCCUUCCGCUUCCGCGCCCCCACCCCGCCACCGCCACGCCCACGCCCACGCCGCGUAAUCAAUCAAUCAAUCGAUCAAAUCGACGAGCAGCCGCCCGCCGCCUCCCCCCUCCCUCCCCCCGUCCCGUCCAGGCCCAGGCCCCGCUCCCCGCCGGCCUCGCGCUCUCCUUCCUCCCGGUGUGCGACGCGAGGCACUCGGAGCUGAUCCCGUGCCUGGACCGGGGCCUCCACCACCAGCUCCGCCUUAGGCUCAACCUCUCCCUCAUGGAGCACUACGAGCGCCACUGCCCGCCCGCGCCCCGCCGCCUCAACUGCCUCAUCCCCCACCUGAUGGCUACCUGGUGGCCGAGGAGCCGGGACGAGGUGUGGACGGCCAACAUACCCCACACCCACCUCGCCUCCGAGAAGUCAGACCAGAGGUGGAUGGUGGUGAACGGGGACAAGAUCAACUUCCCCGGCGGAGGCACCCACUUCCACUACGGCGCUGACAAGUACAUUGUGAACCUCGCGCAGAUGUUGGGGUUUCCAAAUGACAAGCUGAACAACGAAGGCAACAUCAGGAACGUGCUCGACGUCGGCUGCGGGGUUGCUAGCUUCGGGGCUUACCUCCUACCGCUAGAUAUAAUUGCAAUGUCGCUUGCUCCCAACGAUGUGCACGAGAACCAGAUUCAGUUUGCCCUUGAGAGGGGGAUCCCGUCGACCCUUGGUGUGCUGGGUACAAGGAGGCUGCCAUAUCCAAGCCGCUCCUUUGAGCUGGCGCAUUGCUCGCGUUGUCGAAUUGACUGGUUGCAGAGGGACGGGAUCUUGUUGCUGGAAGUGGAUAGGGUUUUGAGGCCUGGAGGGAUGUGCUGGAAGAUUGCUUCAAAGGAGGGCCAGACGGUGAUAUGGGUCAAACCAUUGACAAAUGGGUGCUAUAUGAGGAGAGAGCCCAGAGCAUUUCCUCCCAUGUGUGGCCAUGAUGAUGACCCAGAUGCUGCUUGGAAUGUCCUCAUGAAAGCAUGCAUAACUCCCUACUCCAAGAGAGUUAACAAGGUUAAAGGAAGCGAACUGCUUCCCUGGCCACAAAGGCUCACAGCACCACCCCCUCGUCUGGAAGAGAUUGGAAUCAGUUCAAAGAAUUUUACUGAAGACAAUGAAAUUUGGAAUUCUAGAGUUGCUCAGUACUGGAAACUUAUGAAAUCUGAGAUACAGAAGUAUUCCUUCAGAAAUGUUAUGGAUAUGAAUGCUAACCUUGGCGGAUUUGCAGCAUCACUGAGGAAAAAAGAUGUCUGGGUAAUGAAUGUAGUCCCUUUCAUGGAAUCUGGAAAACUGAAGAUCAUAUAUGACCGUGGUUUGAUAGGGACAAUCCAUAACUGGUUGUUAAAUUGUGAUCCAAAUUCUAGUACCGGGCUGACUAGACGUAGUACAAUCGGCGAUCUGAAGCCGGAUCGAUUUCUACAGCAGCCGAGACCGAGAGGAGUUCUGACUUCCCCUGCUGAGGCGCAUUACAAAGCUGCGGGCGUGCCUCAUCUGCCGCUGCUCCUCGUCGUAUGCGCUCCAAGUCGUCGAAAGUUCCGCCGAGUCGUCGCUGGACAGCCGCGCAAAGUUGCUGCUGCUCGCACCAAGUCCCGAGGCAGAUCACGUCAAGUACUAGUGGUGCACAUCGGUUACGUACUGAUUGCUGCUGGAGUUCACUUUUAUCGGUUCAUGUCAUCCAUGAAGUACGAUCUUCCACUGCUGGACCGUGACACAAGGUUUACCCUAUGGCAAGAAGUUUUGAGCGAGAAAACUGCCGCCGCUCUAUGGUUAAAGCUGAAAGGGAUUUGCAUGACCAAGGAUCUCACCAGCAAGAUGCAUCUGAAGCAAAAAUUAUUCCUGCACAGGUUACCCGAGGAAGUUUAUGAAGCUUUGAACUCUAAGGAGAAGAUGAAAUUAAUGGUGCAUCAUGAUGGUUCGAGUUCAUCCCAAGCAGAGGGAUUAUCUGUUCGUGGCAGGACAAAGGAGAAGAACUCCAAUAAUGGAAACAGAGGCAAAAGUAAGAACGGCCACAGGGGCCGGUCACAAUCCAGAGACAAGAAGUAUUGCAGAUAUUGCAAAAGAGACGGGCAUGACAUCUCAGAGUGUUUCAAAUUGCAGAACAAGGAAAAGAGGAAAGGUAACAAACAAGGUGAAAAUUCUGCUAACGUUGCUCGUGAUGAUAGUUUCGAUGAUGCUCUUGUCGUUAUUGCUGGAUGUGCUGAGACCAAUGAUGAGUGGAUACUUGAUACUGCAUGCACUUUUUAUAUGUGUCCACAUAGAGAUUGGUUUACUACUUUUGAUUCCACUACUUCUGCUGGUUCCGUUUUGGGUUUUGAUAAUUCAUCAUGCAAGAUUGAAGGCAUAGGUUCUAUUCGAAUCAAGAUGUUUGAUGGCAUAAUCAGAACUUUGACAGAUGUUCGGUAUAUUCCGAAGAUGAAGAGAAAUCUUAUUUCUAUGAGUGCCCUUGAUGCAAAGGGGUACAAGUAUUCAGGUGGAGAUAGUGUUUUGAAAGUCACCAAAGGUUCCCUUGUUGUGAUGAAAGGUGACUUAAGUUCGACCAAUGGUCUUUAUUACCUUCGAGGUUCUACCGUUUCAGGUAACGCUACUCCAGUUGUUUCAAAGAAUUCUGAUUGUGAUGCUGCUAACCUUUGGCAUAUGCGUCUUGGACAUAUGAGUGAACUUGGUUUAGCAGAGUUAAAUAAGAGAGGUCUUCUUGAUGGAUAUGAACCUGGUGAUACAUCUGGUAAUGAAAUUGUUGAUGCACAUGAUGAACCCGUCGUUGAUGAUGAACAUGUCACUCCCACUCCAAAUCAGCCUAUUGUUCCACCCAGUUGGAAUCUUGCACGUGACAGAGUUAGACGGGGUAUUAAUAAACCUGACAGGUGCGAGUCAUUCUCGACAUACCCUCGUACCUACGACCUCCUUCACGUCUGGCUCCUAUUCUCUGAGAUGGAGAAUCAGGGCUGUGGCCUGGAAGAUCUGCUGAUCGAGAUGGACCGCAUCAUGAGGCCUCAUGGGGAUCGGGAGGCAGAUGAGCAGCUGUUGAAGAAGAAGAAGCCGGAGCCGGAGCAGCCGCAGCCGCAGUCGGCUGCGGAGGAGGCGGUGGGCGUCAAUCCUCUCAACCCGAGACUCGACCUCGACAAGGAGUGUAAGCCCCCGCUUCCCCCCACCGAUUCUCCUGCCGGAUCGCUGCUGCUGAUUGCGCGCUGUCAACCGUGCUGGCCGACGAACCCGCCAGGGAAGAUUUGGAUCGCAAAUGUGUCUAUUUAUUCCGGCGCGACAAGGACAAUCACCCGUUCGAUCAUCACCUCGGAGGACAAUUCGUUGAUUUUGACUGGUCCAAAGAGAGGACUUGCGCUCUGCGGUUCGCUGUUUUUUGAAAUCAAUCUGAAGGUUAAGGAUGUGCAUGGGAGGGAGGUCAAGGAUGAAAGACUCAGCAAAGGCAUGCUGGAUAUUAAUGGCAUCACAAGACAGACAUCAAAUUUCGAAUAUGGGGUCGAAACAGACACGCUUGUCAGCAUGCACAGCACACUGGAGAUGAACUUUGCAUUUGUUAGGGACGCGGUGGAGGGCACUGUCGGGAUCAGGAUCCUUGAGGGGCAUGUUGAUUUCCAUGGUGAGAUGCUCCUGGUGACUGUUGCUCCUGAAGGUGGCGAUGAGCUCUCUCACCACACUGUUAGGUUUGCUUCAAAGCUCAAUGGUUGUGCCGCCGAGAACAUGGUGUGUGGUUUUAGAUUCUUGGAUAAUUUGCAGCAUCACUGGGGAAAAAAAUCUUUGCUAUUCGGUGACACGCAAGAUCCUGAACGAGCGAGUCAUUCUGCUGGUCCAGAUGGACCGCAUCAUGAGGCCUCGCGGCACGCCAUUAUCAGGGACGAAGUUGCUGUCAUAGACCACAUCAAGAAGCUUGUACCGGCGCUGAGAUGGGAUGACUGA
rnacentral:rRNA from 1 species